UAGGGGCGUGGCGCAAUUGGUAGCGCAACGGUCUCCAAAACCGUAGGUUGCAGGUUCGAGUCCUGUCGCCCCUGCAUA
rnacentral:tRNA from 1 species